ACAUCCAGUCUUCAGAUGGCUUACUCUUAGAUUAAAGACAAGGAGAGCUGAGAUGGUCUACAAGGCCCUAGAUGCCCUGGGCCCUGCCUGCUUUUGAGCCUUGUCUUGUGCAAUUCUCACCCUCACCCUGCAAUUCAACCACUGAUCUCUCCAUACACUUCACUGAGUUAAUCCCAGUGCUGCUUUCAAUUCUAGAGGAGGUGAACUCUUCCCGCCCAAACUUUUUCCUCGUCUUUUGUCAUAUAUUUCCACAGAACCUUCUUCCUUAUCUUCAUAACACUUACCAGGACCUUCAUGGAUCCAUUCACCCCUUUGGCAGUGGUUGGAAGAUGGCUGUAACACAUACCUGUCAGCAGGUGUCCAUUUCCUUACAUAACAGCAGCUCAGGGGAGCAAUGAGGCUGUGGUGUGGUUUUGCUCACCAUAAGAUUUCAAAGGUACAGAUGCUCCAUAUGAUUUUGGAAUAAGCAAAUAAAUAGAUGUUCAUUUCUAUUUCUUCUCUCCUAAUUAUCCAAUACAUUUUUUGGCUCUGAUCUCUCUCAAACCUGUUCUUUCAAUGGACCACCCAAAGCACCAAUUCUGGGGACACUUUUUAAUCCUUCACUUCCUGGACACUGAUCAGUUCUUCUUUGACCUCAAAACUCUUCUUUUAUCAUGUCAGGUUCUCUAAGCUUUACAUUUAGUCUUUUGCAUCUCCUGAUAGGUUGUUUUGUUGUUGUUGUUAUUGUUGUACUUCCUGGGCUCUACUGGGAAGUUCCAUCAACACCGUUCUCUUCUCUAACAAAAUUACCUCUGGUAAUCUCCCACUCUCCCCAGACUACAUUUACUCUACCCCUGCAUUCCAAACUUGCAGCUCAGGAUCAGUGUUAGCUUCAGAAGCCAGUGGAUUUCCCAUCCUGGUUACAAAAUCCAUCCCCUAUCUUUCCAGCUUCACUUAUUACACUUCCCAUUUCAGUGUUACCUCUGGUAAUAACACCCUUCCUUUUGUUU